GAUGAAGAACGUAGCGAAAUGCGAUAAGUAAUGUGAAUUGCAGAAUUCAGUGAAUCAUCGAAUCUUUGAACGCACCUUGCACCCUUUGGCAUUCCGAAGGGUAUGCUCGUUUGAGUGUCAUUGUACUCUCACACUUCCAAUUCUUUGGAUUGGGAGCGGUGGACUUGGGUGCUGCUGCUUACCGUGGCUCACCUCAAAUGUGUUAGUGCAACCGUUGGUUAGACAUAGUACAGCGUGAUAAGUAUCUUCGCUGGCGCCUCACUCGAGGGUGGCUGAUCAGGGCUCUGUGAUCCCAAUCGUCUUCGGACAAUCACUGACAACUUGGCCUCAAAUCGAGUAGGACUACCCGCUGAACUUAAGCAUAUCAAUAAGCGGAGGA
rnacentral:misc_RNA from 1 species